UUGGAUUGGGUAGUAAAGCAAAAUGAAGGCGGGAUUGUGUUUCCUGUAACGGGAUGUUAUAAAGUCAACCAAUUACAUUGGACGGUGUAAAUUCAAACGGGUGUGGUGUCUGUAGCGAAACCAGGGUGAACGCGCGGAUUGGUACAUACAAAUGCAAGUCAUAUGAAUAAAGAGGUUUUCAUAAGCCGCCCAUUGCAUCCGCCACUAUAACAGCCACUAUGAGCAGGAGCUGGCUACCCUGUCUGGUGUCAAAGAGCAGCUGACCAUUGUAGCCAGUGAGAAGGCCUCCCUGGAGAAGACCCUUAAACAACCUCACUGAGGAGCACUAUGUUCUUCUGGGCUUGAGAAAGAGCCUGAAGGCCGAGCUUCACAAUGUGCAGACCCAGCUCUCUGCAGGGCUCCACUCUUUCUCGUUGCUAGACAACCCUGAGGGAGACCCAGGACACGGUCUGCAACUUGGAGGAGACUGUGACCCGCCAGACAGGGGUGAUUCACUGUGGAGAGAUGGAUCGCAGGGAGCUCCACAACUCAAUCCAAGAG